AGGAUGAACGCUGGCGGUAUGCUUAACACAUGCAAGUCGUACGGGUGGAACUUGUUUCAUCUAGUGGCGGACGGGUGCGUAACACGUAAGAACCUACCUUUUGGAGGGGGAUAACAUUGGGAAACUGAUGCUAAUACCUCGUAAUACUGAGGAGUUAAAAGCGGGUAUCCUGCAAGGGAGCUACGCGCCAAGAGAGGGGCUUGCGGCUGAUUAGCUAGUUGGUGGGGGUAAUGGCCUCCCAAGGCCACGAUCAGUAGCUGGUCUGAGAGGACGACCCAGCCACACUGGGACUGAGACACGGCCCAGACUCUUACGGGAGGCAGCAGUGAGGAAUUUUCCACAAUGGGCGAAAGCCUGAUGGAGCAAUCCCGCGUGGAGGAAGAAGGUCUGUGGAUCGUAAACUCUUUUCUCAGAGAAGAACAAAUGACGGUAUCUGAGGAAUAAGCUCCGGCUAACUAUGUGCCAGCAGCGC
rnacentral:rRNA from 1 species